rnacentral:rRNA from 1 species
GAUGAACGCUGGCGGCGUGCCUAAUACAUGCAAGUCGAGCGAAGCGGGGACGGGUGAGUAAAACGUGGAUAACCUCCUAUAAGACUGGGAGAACUUCGGGAAACGGGAGCUAAACCGGAAACUUAAAGAAAGAUCCGCGGUGCAUUAGCUAGUUGGUAAGGUAAGGGCUUACCAAGGCAACGAUGCAUAGCCGAACAGAGAGGGUGAUCGGCCACUCUGGAACUGAGACACGGUCCCGAGUCCUACGGGAGCCAGCAGUAGGGAAUCUUCCGCAAUGGGCGAAAGCCGGACGGAGCAACGCCGCGUGAGUGAUGAAGGUCUUCGGAUCGUAAAACUCUGUUAUUAGGGAAGCGGUACCUAAUCAGAAAGCCCCGGCUAACUACGUGCCAGCAGCCGCGGUAAUUC